AAAAAGACAAACCCUGGUUUCUGUGCUCAACAUUUGACCGUUCGUCUUAUUUGAAAAAAUUAUGAAAAAAAUAAAAAGACAAGUCACGCAUAAAAUAUUAAUCAUGUUUUAUCAUCUAACAACAAUGAAAAUACGAAUUAUAAAAAAAUUUCAUAUAAGACGGACAAUCAAAGUUGGACACGGAAACCCAGGGUUUGCCUUUUU
rnacentral:pre_miRNA from 1 species